AAAGCGUGCGCAGGCGGUUUUGUAAGUCUGUCGUGAAAUCCCCGGGCUCAACCUGGGAAUGGCGAUGGAGACUGCAAGGCUAGAGUUUGGCAGAGGGGGGUAGAAUUCCACGUGUAGCAGUGAAAUGCGUAGAUAUGUGGAGGAACACCGAUGGCGAAGGCAGCCCCCUGGGUCAAAACUGACGCUCAUGCACGAAAGCGUGGGGAGCAAACAGGAUUAGAUACCCCAGU
rnacentral:rRNA from 1 species